rnacentral:lncRNA from 1 species
AAGAGGGUCUUUGUAGAUGCAGUCAGUUAAAAUGAGGUCAUAGUGGGUUAUGUGGCCCUAUAUCCAAUGACUGGUGUCCUUAUGAGGGAAAUUUGGACACAGACGAGGGGAAGCUUCCUAGGACACUGAGGGCAGAGACAGGAGGAAUGCUGCCCAAGCCAAGAGAUGCCACCAGAAACCAGGAGAGGCAAGGAACACCUUCUCCCCGAGUCCCCAGGAAGCAGCCUGCCUUCAGAACUGUGAGAGAGCACACCGGGGUCGUGUUAAGUCUUCCGGCUUGUUUCAGCACCCCAGGACACUCACACGUCCAGGCGGGUGCGAUGGCUGGCUGUGUGGGUGAAGGGAUCCGCCGCAGGAAUGAAGGCUUGCAGGGCCCUGGUGGCGGGCCCCACCUUGUGAGCAGCUUGUGGGGAGGGUCUCCCUGCGGGGGCUGGGCUCCCCUAGGCCUUACCCGUCCUGCCAUCCAGAGGCGCUGGCCCCGUGGCCCUGCUACAUCAGAGUCUUCCCUGCGGGGCCAUGGCUCCACUCCACCAAUGGGUCCUGGAUUCCAGGAGGCUGGGUGUGUCCCCACCAGCUCUCCAGAGGGACUCAGCAAAGCAGCCUGUGCCCAGUGCCGUUUAUGCUGGCCCUCGGCCACUGCCUCCUACGUCCUUUCUGGAGUCAGUGGUAGCCCAAGUCGUGACAAGAUCAAGGCUAAUCUUCAAACUCUGGUGGAAAAGACACAGCUGCCCUUGGCAGAUCCCUUCCUCCUGGCCUGCUCUUCCCCCUGGCAAGUCCCCCUAUGCCUGUCAGGGAAGGUUCCACCAUGAAGUCACAAGGCCUGGAGCCAGGCAAGAAAGCCAGACAGCAGUGUUACCAUGGAGACUCCUGCCCAAGCACCCAACACCUGUGAUCAUCACCUGCCUCUUAAUUCAGCUUAAUCCAGAUCACCCCUGGGACCUGGGGAUACAAAGGAAGGCUCAGCUCUCCAUGACAGGCCCAGCGAGCUUGCUCAGGGACUUGUGCCCAGAGACUCCGAGAGUUCCCCAGGAGCUUUCCCAGGAAGACUGGGCAGCUGAGCCUCUGCUAGGUCGGCCUUCAGAGGUCGUCUUUAGCCUUAGGGCUGGAGGCUGGAGAAGCCCAGCACACCGCCCAGGGCCGCAGGGCCUUGGUAUCUCCAGGACAUCAAGCUUCCCCCGGAUCCCAAGCACAGUGUGACCCAGCUGGGUUCCCGGGGGCCAGGCCCCAGACCCCCCACCCCUACCCUGGGGCCAUUAAAGCUUGCCUUUCUUGUUUUGUGGACUUAACUCUUUAAUCCACGUGGAAUUUAUUUUUCCAAGUGCCAACAGAUAAAGCUCUAAUUUUAUUUUAUAUUUUAUGUUAUGUAUGUUGAUUCAGUAUCAUCUAUGAAUGACGUAUUUCUCCACCAACCUGAUUUCAAAAGCC